rnacentral:rRNA from 1 species
UACGGGGUGCUGCAGUGGGGAAUAUUGCGCAAUGGGGGAAACCCUGACGCAGCGACGCCGCGUGUAGGAAGAAGGCCUUCGGGUCGUAAACUACUGUCAGGAGGGAAGAAACUGUUCGGGUCGAAUAGGCCUGUUCACUGACGGUACCUCCAGAGGAAGCACCGGCUAACUCCGUGCCAGCAGCCGCGGUAAUACGGGGGUGCGAGCGUUAAUCGGAAUCACUGGGCGUAAAGCGUGCGUAGGCGGCGCUUCAAGUCAGACGUGAAAGCCCUCGGCUCAACCGAGGAAUUGCGUUUGAAACUGUAGUGCUAGAGUCUCGGAGAGGUUGGCGGAAUUCCAGGUGUAGGAGUGAAAUCCGUAGAUAUCUGGAGGAACACCGGUGGCGAAGGCGGCCAACUGGACGAGUACUGACGCUGAGGUACGAAAGCGUGGGGAGCAAACAGGAUUAGAUACCCGAGUAGUC